CAUUUGCCAUCCAUCGGUCUG
rnacentral:misc_RNA from 1 species